AACAAAUUUUUGCUACAAUUUAUAUAUAAUUACGAAAAAAAAAAUUACACAUAAAUUUAUAAACUAAAUUAAGCGAUAAGUUGCACAUCUUUACCUAAACGAUUGGUAAUUAUUUCUAGAUUUUAGUCAGCGAAUUGCAGUUGCAACCAACGAACUCCCCAGGCCAACCCCCACCCUUAAUCUCACAUCCACCCUCAAGCACUCCCCAACAAAUUCAAUAAUUCCACAGUAAUUCAGUUCGAACCGGCACAUGCAAUCCGAAAAUAGUUCAGAGCCCCAUCGAAAAAACCCCAAAAUGGUAUUUGAGGAGGAGAACCAGUUGCCCGCCCAUCCUAAGAUAUAAGUUUUGUUUUUAUUUAUAUAAAAGUAACAAACAAAAAAGAAAAAAAAAACAAAACAAAUUUUCGGCGCAGCGUGAUUAUUAAUUAAUAAGUUUUAAAUAAGCUAGGAAUUCCUCCUUAAGAAAUAAGAAAAAUGAAUUCAAAAUUAUCGUAUUUAAUAUUUCGGCUAGGUUAUCAUUUUUGUACUAUGUAUGAAUAUGUUUAGGUCGGCCCCAAUUUCUCUCCCCUGCCCCAACCUUUGCCCCUCUCCCCACUAUAUUUGUAUGUUUAUCAUAUUCGUGUAUCUAUGUAUCUAUCUGUAGUAAUUGUUUAGCAGCAAGACAAAUUAGUAGCAGAACAGCCGUUUGUGAUGGAUCUCUUGUGUGUUUUGUGUGCCUUGCACUCGCAAAUCACAAAUCGCUAUCGAUAGGGCUUUUUCUAGGUUUAAGCAAGUAUUUUUUUCUAAAUUUAACAACUUACGAUAUUACUAUAUAUACAUAUACUUAUAUGGUAUGCAAACAUCCCAAACAAUUUAAAGAGCGGUUCAAUGUUUCCUGUUUUGUGUUUUAAUUUUGUGCAUAAAUAAAAAAAAGUCACCAGAAAUUCCCCUCCUCUACUAAACACCCCAUCCAACAAUCUAAUAACUCAUAAAUUGUGUAAAAUUUUCAAAAGAUUUCAAUCUUUACUUUUAAUCGAAUUAGAAGGAAAAACCAAAUCUGAUAUUCAACUGUGAAAAUCUUUCAAAAAUCAACUCCGAAUUGUGUGGAAAUUUCAAAAGAUUUAAAUCUUUACUUUUAAUCGAAUUAGAAGGAAAAACCAAAAUGAUAAUUCCAACUGUGACAGCGAAUGAUUCGGUCCAAUCUAAACAGCAGAAACUGUGUUAAACGUUUAACUUUAAUUAACCUUGAUCGGUGUAUUGUGUUGCGUUUAUAACGUCACGAUUCUAGCGGUCAAACUUAUUUCUUUCCUUAAGUUUUCGUCAAACUAUCUGUGAAUUGCGACGCAUCCAACGAAUCAUUUUGCUAGUGAUUCCCAAAGUUGGUUCGCUUCGCACUUAACUUUUGCCUGUGACAAGAAAUUUUAUAAAAAUUUAAAAA